rnacentral:rRNA from 1 species
CCUACGGGCGGCAGCAGUUAGUAAUAUUUUUCAAUUUUCUCUAUCCUUCCCCCUCCCAUUCUCUUGAAGGAUGACUGCCCUACGGGUUGUAAACUUCUUUUAUAAAGGAAUAAAGUGAGGCACGUGUGCCUUUUUGUAUGUACUUUAUGAAUAAGGAUCGGCUAACUCCGUGCCAGCAGCCGCGGUAAUACGGAGGAUCCGAGCGUUAUCCGGAUUUAUUGGGUUUAAAGGGAGCGUAGAUGGGUUGUUAAGUCAGUUGUGAAAGUUUGCGGCUCAACCGUAAAAUUGCAAUUGAUACUGGCAGUCUUGAGUACAGUUGAGGUAGGCGGAAUUCGUGGUGUAGCGGUGAAAUGCUUAGAUAUCACGAAGAACUCCGAUUGCGAAGGCAGCUUACUAAACUGCCACUGACAUUGAUGCUCGAAAGUGUGGGUAUCAAACAGGAUUAGAUACCCGUGUAGUC